rnacentral:misc_RNA from 1 species
GGAAGUAAAAGUCUAACAAGGUUUCCGUAGGUGAACCUGCGGAAGGAUCAUUAUUGUAUAACCGAGGUGCGAGGGCUGUCGCUGACCCGAAAGGUCGUGCACGCCCGAGUGCCCUCACACACAUCCAUCUCACCCCUAUGUGCACCACCGCGUGGGUCCCCCUUUGGCUUGUUCGGAGGGGGGCUUACGUUUUCACACAAACUUUGUAUGCAGUGUAGAAUGUAUUUUUUGUUUUUGCGAUCACGCAAUCAAUACAGCUUUCAACAACGGAUCUCUUGGCUCUC